rnacentral:pre_miRNA from 1 species
UCUUUCAGAUUUUUCACCCGACAUGGCAUUUUUGAAUUUACAUGUUUGGCCGAAUUUCUGGAAGUCA